AUUGAACGCUAGCGGGAUGCUUUACACAUGCAAGUCGAACGAGUGGCGGACGGGUGAGUAAUAUAUCGGAACGUGCCUAGCAGCGGGGGACAACUACUCGAAAGAGUGGCUACUACUGCAUACUACUGGAUCGGCCGAUAUCGGAUUAGCUAGUUGGUGGGGUAAAGGCUAACCAAGGCAACGAUCCGUAGCUGGUUUGAGAGGACGACCGGCCACACUGGGACGGAGACACGGCCCAGACUCCUACGGGAGGCAGCAGUGGGGAAUUUUGGACAAUGGGGGAAAGCCUGAUCCAGCCAUCCCGCGUGUGUGAGAAGGCCUUCGGGUUGUAAAGUACUUUUGGCAGAGAAGCGGUAUCUGCAGAAUAAGCACCGGCUAACUACGUGCCAGCAGCCGCGGUAAUUC
rnacentral:rRNA from 1 species